AUAGAAAGGCAUCUGCUGCAUCAACAGUUCAAUAUCUUGAUUUGCUUCUGAUUCUCCUUUGAUUUCGUGCUUGAGUUUUGAUGAUCCUGAUGCAUACAAUGAAGGAAAAAAAAAUAUCUUGAUGAAGAUAAAUGUUUAGAUGAUUUGGUGGUAGAAAUUUUUGCUCCAUAGAGGCUUUGAUGGGUUUCUCCCUUUUACUUUUUCUCUUAGAAAAGCUGGUUUCUGUAGUGGUUUACUGUAUGGCCAAUGUCUUUUUACUGUUUCAAAUAUUUAGAGUUGUAGAAUCUCAUUAUAUGCGAUCCUACUGCUGUGGUGUCAGUCCAGCACACUUGAAAAUUUGGUGUAUCUGCUAGUGAAGGACGUUGUGUACAGAUACAUAUAAAUAUGUAGAAAUAUGUGCACGCAUACUUACAUGUAUAUGAAGUGUGGAUGAGGGUUUCUAUCUGUCUGUUUACUUAUCCUAUAUGCAAUGCUAUUGUGAUAUAUCUUCUCACUGUUGUUGUUUAUUGUUUUUAAUGCAGAAAACCGAGCAAGAGAAGCUGCAGAAACUUGCACGUAAAGUAUGAACACGUUUUUACAUUUCAUGUAUUUUGAGAUUUAAGUAAUUUUAGAUGACCACACUUUAGAAUGUAAAGCAUUCUUCAUUGUUUAAGCAGCCAGAGUUCGGCAUUCAGAAAAUUGAAUUACUUUUGAGGGCUUUGCGUAGUGUUAAAUGAAGGUUGUUAAAAUUGAAAAACAAGAUAAUACAACUUUGGGAUCAUACUUUUCUCUACAGAUAAUGUUUUUGUGUGUUGUUCCUUCGGGAACACCCGAUAAAAUUGGAAGACCGUAUUUAAUCAGCUCUUCAUUUUGCAACUUGAAGUGUCCUAGUCAUAUGUUUAGCAGCUCAAGUUUUAUUGUGGUCUGGUUUGCUCCCAUCUUGAUUAUUAGUUUACAUGUCUGAUCACAUAUUUAUCAUUGCGAUCACCCAAUCAAUUGUGGUUUAUGUGUUCUGGUCAAUUUUUUUCUUCCAGCCUUCUGGAUGUGGUUCAAUAUCAAACUAGUUCUUGGUUGGGAUUGUCAUGUCUCUGCUACAAAUGUAUGCUCAAUUAUUUGAACAUUUUCAGGGCCCUAAACCAGAAGAGAACCCAACUGCAAGCUCAGAGGGCUCGAUAUCUGAUGCCAAACCAAGUGGCUCUACCUCUGGAGAAUCAACUGCCAAAGUAUCCACUGACAAGUACCGGAAUUAUGCUGUUGUAGCAGGUGUUGUAACUGUUGGCGCUGCUGCAGGUUGGUAUCUCAAAUCUAGUGGAAAGAAACAAGAAGUGCAGGACUGAGAUUAGUGUGCUUUGGUAUGAACAAUUGAAGCAUCAGUUGUCAUAACACUUUCUGGUUAGCAUAGAAAUAAAUCAAACUACGAUCCGUCUCUGUUUCUGGCGGAUAUGUGUUGUGUUGAGUUUUUGUUAUAACCUUUUCUGUGUUGGGAAAUAUAUACAUAAUGGAAGGUAUUCUGCAGCUUUCAAUUUUCCAGUGUGGUUGUUCAUUGCGUUGUAAGAGGGUAGCAAAUGGUUUUUGUUGAUUGACGAUUGUGUCAGCAGGUGAGACUUUUCACUCGGGCUUAAGGAGAGGCUUGAGCCCAAGUUGUGCAAAAGGAAGAAAAACGCUCCGCAUGGAGGAAUGUGUUAGGUUGUGAUUUGUUAGCAUGUAGCAAGCAAUGGCUCUUUAUCUGCAAUGGGGCCAAGCAGUCUUCUUGAUGGAAUGAUUUGCUGCAUAUCUUAGGGUUUGUUUUUUUAUAGUUUCCCGAUGCCUUGCAGUGCAAAUAUUAGGAAUCUAAUUGGUGAACUAGACAUAGACUAGCUCCAAGAGCAAAUUGACUUAGAUUACACAUUCUGCGGCUUUGUCAGUAGCUGUCUUUCAUAUAAUUCAUCUGUAGUUACAUGUUACAUGCAUGUGACAGUGAUAUUGUCGGAAUUUUAAGUUCACUGGGCUGAGUUCCAAGCGCCUAAAAAAAUAACCACCUUAGAAAUGAGAUUUAUCGUCAACAGCAUGAAAAAAAAAAAGAAAAAAAAAGGGGACUUAUUAAACCAAAUUAUAUUAAAGAAUUUAUUUUAUCAUGCAACAAUAUCAACCUAUAAUUUAGUAACAAAUCAUUGCAAAUUGAUUUUUCAGUGGAAUUUAUAAUUCAUUACAUAAAAAACAUAUAUGUAUGUAUAUUUUUUAAGAUAUUAUUAUUAUGUUGUUCAUAUGUAAAGGGUUUGUAGCUCAAACGGUUAAGAGUAUUUACCAUUGUACUCUAGGUUUUAGGUUCGAUUUUUCCUCCCCAAAAUUUAGGUUCGUUUCCCUAUCCUCGAGUAUUACUUGAGGAAUAUUAACAUUCACUUGUGUAUAUAAAAAUAAAUAAAUAAAUCAUAUUCAUAGUAGCACUAGUGAAUAUUAACAUUCUUGUGUACAUGACAUUUGAUUUUCUUCAGCAUUUAUCAAAGAGUGAACCAAUGUUUGUAGGUAUGUUGCAAUUUUAAAUUAUAAGGACUGCUAUUUUCACCUCUAUCUUAUUACCUUUUUGUAAAACGACUUAUGUAACCCACCUAUUAUACUAUUUGACAAAAAAGAUUUAAAGAUCCAGAAAAUCAAAAUGUUAGACUAAAAAAAUUAUCCACUGUGUCAAACACAACUUGAUCCUCUUCAUAUCUCAAUUACUAAUUAUUAGGAAAUAACUUUCUCAAAUUAAUAAUUAAAUUAUAUUUUAAGAAUAAUAGUAGGUGAAAAGAUAGAAUUGUGUUUUUUCAAAUUUACAUGGUUGGUGGGAAAAUAAAAUAGAUAGGGAAAUAAAGACAGGUAGGAAAUAGCAGCACUAUAAAAAAAAAAAAUGUAUCGGUUUGUUGAUCGGUUUGUUUUGACAUAAUCAAAAUGGUCGUAUUUUAAAGGGUAAACUGUUGAAAACCCCCCUGGACUAUUUCGAUUGUCAAAAUGUCCCUCCUAGAUUAUUUUUUCAGCAAAUUUAGCCUUCGAAUUAAAAGUAAUCGCCAAUUUCACUAAUGCCGUUAGUUUUUCCCCAAUUCCAUCCAAAUGCCCGUAAAAACACCACGUGAAAGGCAUGUGAGCCGUCUAAUGAGGGUAAUAUCGCUAUUCUAUACCCUCAGCCCUCAGCCCUCAGCCCUCAGCCCCUUUUGACUGAAUCGUUCGUAAGGUCAAUUCCCAAAUCAGAGAUAGAGUUUUCGAAAAAGGGUGAGAGUGAAAGAAAGAAAGCAAAUGAAAGAUUCGAAAACCCGUGAGAGUGAAACAGAGAAAGCGACUGAAAGAUUCGAAAAAGGGUGAGAAAGACAUACUGCGACUGAGAGAUUCGAUUUGAGAGAUAUUUUGUGACUUGAAGAUUCCAAAUGAAGGUACUACAGUAAAGGCAGAAUGAAAAUCAGAGAUGGUGGGGAAGCUCCCAUAUACAGUAAGUAGCGUACUUUAGUUUAUUUGUUUGAUGCAAUUGUUUGGGUUUUACUGUCGGAUUUCAUUGCUGGACUUCAUGAAAAAGCAUAAUAAAAGGAAGAAAGUGGUCCCUAUGGUUGUUGUUUGUUGACUGAGACUUAGGUUGGGUUGUGAAUGUGGUCCCUAUGCAUGUUGUUUGUUUAUUGUUUGUUGGGUUCUUUGUCCGGUAUUGUAUUGUAUUGUAUUGUAUUGUAUUGUAUAGGGUAAAUAGUAAUGUACUGUAUAUGUAUUGUAUAGGGUAGAUAAUAAAUGUAUAUUGUACUGUAUAGGGUACAUAGUAAAUUAAUGAGAAAAUUUAUUGUUGUGCAGCUAAUCUUGACAUGUUCACACUUGAAGUACACCACGGGGGCUACUUUGUUGAUGGUUUAUAUAUGAGAGGUAUUGUACAAUGGGUUGAUGGGCAAGAUACAGAUGAGGUUUCAAUGCUUGAGUUAUUUGAACUGGUUAAACACCUUGGUUAUGAUGAGCAGAACAUUCAAUACUAUUACAAGCACAGGACAAAUGGCUGGGUUGAAAUUAGGACAGAUAAAGAUUAUUUUGGAGCAUUGAAAUUGGUGAAACUGAGCCAACUAUUUGUGUUAUACAUAACUGACAAUCUAGGACCUAAGCCUCUAAAUGUUCAAUCCCCAGUAUUCUCUGCACAUGGUGAAAAUGCUGAACAUUAUGAAGACACUGCUCAUGGAUAUGAUAGUGAUGAAAAAAAUGGGCAAUAUGGGUUUGUGGAUGUUUAGAUAGAUGAAUAAUUUGGUGAGGUAGAGGAAGAAGUUGAGGUAGAAAGUGAUGAAGCUGAGCAAGGUGGGGAGGAUGAGGAAGAAGAUGGUGAUUUCACAGAUAGUGAGUUUGAGCAAAGUGAUGAAGAGGACAACAUGAAUUUUCAUAGGUAUGUUGUAACUAAAGAGCAAGAUUAUGGACAUAAAGAACCAGGUGAGGGUGACACUGAUAAUUAUAAUACAUCAGACUCAGAGAGUUUGCAUGAAGAUACUCAAGAUGAAGCUGGCAAGAAGAGAGGUUUGAGGCAGCCAAAGUUCAAGCAGUACAAUAAAUAGCAUGACCUUUUAGAUCCAAAAUUCCACUUGGGUUUGGAGUUUCCUAAUAUGCAGGAAUGUAGAGAGGCCAUAAAGUACUAUGCAUGCAGGUGUGCUAGAAGACUAAGGUUUGUGAAGAAUGACCCUAAUAGGGUAAGGCUGGUAUGUGAUGGUAAUAAGGAGGUGAUAAGGCAAAGAGGCAUACUAAGGGUGAAAAAGCAAAGAGGCAUGCCAAGGGUGAUAAGGCAAAUAGUCUUAGUAAGAGUGAUAAGAGCGAUAAGAGUAAAAGGCAUGGUAAGGGUGAAGAAGGUCAAGAGGGUGAAGAUGAAUCUGAAGAUAAACUUGAAGACCGUCCUUGGUUACUGUAUGCUGCACAAGUUGGGAAAAGGUCCACUGUAGAGUGAAGACAUACCAUCCAAUUCACACAUGUGGCCGAUGUCUUUGAACAAGACAGUCAGUUGCCUAAUNNNNNNNNNNNNNNNNNNNNNNNNNNNNNNNNNNNNNNNNNNNNNNNNNNNNNNNNNNNNNNNNNNNNNNNNNNNNNNNNNNNNNNNNNNNNNNNNNNNNCAAUAUGCAAAGCUGUGGGAUUAUUGUGAGGAGCUUAAGAGGCAAAAACCAAGAAAGCAUAGUUUUAGUGAAGACGUCACUGAGGGGAGAUGAUCCAGUUUUUGAGAGGCUUUAUUUAUGUUUUGCUUAACUGAGGAAGGGCUUUAUUGAAAGAUGCAGAACCAUGGUUGGUUUUUAUGGGCCUUUCAUCAAAGGACAAUAUCCAGGACAACUUUUAAGUGCUGUUGGGAUUGAUGCCAACAAUGACAUGUUCCCAAUAGCUUUUGCUGUUGUGGAGACAAAAAGCAGAGACACUUGGACAUGGUUUUUAGAGAUUUUCUUCAAUAAUGUUGGGGUAAGGGGCACUGGAAAUGGGUGAUUUUUUAUCACUGACAAACAAAAAGGACUGGGGCAAACAAUUAAGGCUUUAAACCCAGAUGCUGAACAUAGGCAUUGUGUAAGGCAUCUGCACAAUAAUUCCUAACUUGUUGGGUGUGGUAGUUUGGCACUUAAACAGAGGCUAUGAGCUGCUACUAGAAGUACGACACUUCCUUGGUGGGAAGUUGAGAUGGACAAUAUUAUGGAAAUAUCUGCCCUAACUCAUGUAUGGCUUAAGGAAAGGCCAUCAAUUCAUUGGAGCAUGUCACAUUUUACUACUGGGCCCAAGUGUGAUAUACUGCUGAACAAUUUAUGUAAAUGCUUCAAUUCAGUAAUUUUGGAGGCAAGAGAUAAACCAAUAAUCACGAUGGUGGAAAGGAUAAGAACCUAUUUGAUGUUGAGAGUUGCAAGACAAAAGGAGGUGAAAUGGACUCAAAGAGUUGGGCCAAGGAUAUUUAGAUUAUUGAGAAGAAUUGAAAGAGAGUGACUCAUGCAUUGCACAGAAUGCAGGUGGAAACAGGUUUCAAGUCAUCCAUAUGCUUGGUGGGCAAUAUGCAGUUGAUCUAAAUACUCAUUCAUGCUCUUGUAGAAAAUGGGAUCUCUGUGGUAUCCCAUGUUGCCAUGCAAUGGUUGCUCUAUCAAGGCAACAGAGGACCGAAUGAGUUAUGUGAAUGAGGUGUAUAAGAGAGAAGCUUAUGAUAGGGCUUAUAGCAAUUACAUUUCACCAAUGCCAAGCCAACAAUUAUAGAGGAAAUCAGGGCAUAGGCCAAUUAAACCCCCACUGUUUCACAAACAGAAUGAUAGGCCAAAGAAGGCAAUGACUAGACCUAUUGAUGAGAUCCCAAAGGGUGCCACUAAGCUUAGGAGAUAUGGAAUUGUAAUCCAUUGCUCAGUUUGUGGAGGAGAAUGCCAUAAUGCUACUAAUUAUGGAAGGGCAGAUGGCAAUAUGGGAAGAGGCAGGGGGAGAGGGAGAAUGAGAGGAAAAGGAACCAGCUCAGUCCAUCAAUCUGAAGAGGAACAGGUAAAUGAUGUGAAAUUGUGAUUAAUUGUGAUUAAUUUCAAUUGUUUUAAUUGUGAUUCAUUUCAUUUGUAGGCAAUUAGAGGAGGGUUGACAAGAACUGCAACCAUUGCAAGCCAAAUAACUCCAACCAAUGUUGCUACCUAAUCAAGUGGAACCAAUAUUGCUUCACAACCAGCUCUUUGCAAUUUAGCUUCACAAACAGGUCCAAGCAAUGUCACUCAAAACCCACAAGGGAAAAUGUUCAAAUCCCCUGCAAAAAGGGCAAGGCCAUGGAGGUAAAAUACAUGAUGGAUGGAUUUUGGAAUGUAUAUUUUUAAUACAUGGAAUGGUAGAUGUGUGUAUUUUGAACAAAUGGCUGUUUUGGAUGGAUUUUGGAUGAUUAAGCAAGGUUGGAAUGUAUAUUUUGUAGUAGAAGUUCCCCUACUAUAUUGUGAACUGAUGGAAAUCAGGGCAUAGGCCAAUUAAACCCCCACUGUUUCACAAACAGAAUGGUAGGCUAAAGAAGGCAAUGACUAGACCUAUUGAUGAGAUCCCAAAGGGUGCCACUAAGCUUAGGAGAUAUGGAAUUGUAAUCCAUUGCUCAGUUUGUGGAGGAGAAUGCCAUAAUGCUACUAAUUGUGGAAGGGUAGAUGGCAAUAUGGGAAGAGGCAGAGGCAGAGGGAGAAUGAGAGGAAGAGGAACCAGCUCAGUCCAUCAAUCUGAAGAGGAACAGGUAAAUGAUGUGAAAUUGUGAUUAAUUGUGAUUAAUUUCAAUUGUUUUAAUUGUGAUUCAUUUCAAUUGUUUUAAUUGUGAUUAAUUUCAUUUGUAGGCAAUUAGAGGAGGGUUGACAAGGACUGCAACCAUUGCAAGCCAAAUAACUCCAACCAAUGUUGCUACCCAAUCAAGUGGAACCAAUAUUGCUUCACAACCAGCUCUUUGCAAUUUAGCUUCACAAACAGGUCCAAGCAAUGUCACUCAAAACCCACAAGGGAAAAUGUUCAAAUCCCCUGCAAAAAGGGCAAGGCCAUGGAGGUAAAAUACAUGAUGGAUGGAUUUUGGAAUGUAUAUUUUUAAUACAUAGAAUGGUAGAUGUGUGUAUUUUGAACAGAUGGCUGUUUUGGAUGGAUUUUGGAUGAUUAAGCAAGGUUGGAAUAUAUAUUUUGUAGUAGAAGUUCCCCUACUAUAUUGUGAACUGAUGGCCAUUUUGGAUGGAAUUUGGAUGUAUUUAGGUUGGGUUGGAAUGUAUAUUUUGAACAGAUGGCUCUUUUGAAUGAAUUCUGUUUCUGUUGUAAUUUUGGAUUAGUGUCUUUCCCUUGCUUUUGUUGUACUAUGUUUGUAGUUUAUAAGUAUUUUGCCUUGGCUUGUGCCAAAGGGUAAGUAUCCAAUUUAAACAAGCUUAAAAUACAAUUCUAUGCUUAUAUUGAAGUUGUGGUAGGUUAAUUUGGUUUUGAAUAUGACAUUGCUGAAUGACAGCCGAACCCAUCAUUGAGUUUACAAGAACUAAAUUCAUAUUUGGUCUAAACUUCAAACUCAUCCAUAAAUUGUGCAAUCCACAUUUAACCUCAAUAUGUACAUUGAACCAAAUAUUCAAAAUGCCACUGCAUUGGUUAAGCCAAAACAAGGCACAAAAAGGCCACUACAUUCAACCAAAUGGGGCUGCAUUUGUUAAGCCAAAAUAAGGCACAAAAUGACCACUACAUUCAACCAAAUCAACUAACCUACAUUCAACCAAAUCAAAACUUAACCUACUUUCAACCAAAUGAAAAACUAACUAAUAAAACAAACAACAACAGAAUCACAACCAAACAACUCAGCAGCAGCCUUAAAUUUUUUUCCUCUCUGUCUCUUAGCUCUUGCACAAUCGUCUUGUCUUUAGCUCUUUUCUCUUCCAAUGAGUUGAUUCGUCUCAACAAUCGACAUAUGACAUGUUUGGCCUGCUCAGACAUUUUUGGUCCUUCCAAGCCUUCCAACCACAGCCACCAACAUACUUCUCUCUAUAACACACAUAUAACCUCCUCCCUGCAUUUUCAUCAAACCAACAAACAAUCGUUUCAGCCUCAAAUCCACACCGGCAAAUACGCAUCAUAUCAUUCUCCGUAAUAAAAGUGGUCGAACUUGAUUCGGUAGAAGCUGCACGUCUGUUCCUAUGCAUCCUAUCUUCAACUGCAAUUUCUUCUCUUCUUCGUGAAAUUGAUGAACAUUAGUGACGUGAGAAGGUUGGAACGCUUGCAAAUAGGGUUGGGUUCUGCCAUCAAGGGUGGGUUCUGUGAAGAAGGGGUGGUUUCUGUCGAAUCUCUAUGUCUGAAACGAAGGCUAUAGGGGCUUCUUUCGUUCUAAUAAAAGGGGGUUGAGGGCUGAGGGUAUAGAAUGGUGAUAUUACCCUCAUCAGACGGCUCACAUGCCUUUCACGUGGUGUUUUUGACGGGCAUUUAGAUGGAAUUAGGGAAAAACUAACGGCAGAGGUGAAAUUAGCAAUUACUUUUAAUUUGAAGGCUAAAUUAGCUAAUAAAAUAAUUCAGGAGGACAUUUUGACAGUCGAAAUAGUCCAGGGGGUUUUCGGCAAUUUACCCUAUUUUAAAAGAAAGCGAAGUCGGGUUUUAACAGACCCCACUUGCUCUUGCUCGCACUCCCACUCUUCUUUCUUCUUCUCAGUGCCUCAGAGUAUAGUUUGCAGAGAGAAAAAUGGAGAAGGAUAAAAGGGAGGUGAUGGUCUCAGCUUUGCAAUUCGCUUGCACCGAUGACGUCGCCACUAACGUUGCA
rnacentral:lncRNA from 1 species